rnacentral:rRNA from 1 species
AUGACCUCAAAUCAGAUGAGACUACCCGCUGAACUUAAGCAUAUCGGAAGAGCUCAGUUUUGAAAUCUGGCAGUCAUUCACUGUCCGAGUUGUAAAUUGAAGAAAGUGUCAUCCACACUGGACCAUGUCUAAAUCGU